CGAUACUGAUUGUGGCAUGACGUGUAUUGAACCAAAACAAGAUUGUCACCAAGAAGAGUUUGUUUGUGAUGAUGGAGUGGUAUGUGUACCAGAGCACCAAACAUGUGAUGGGUUACCUGACUGUCUUGAUAGUAGUGAUGAAUCACCAACUAAAUGCACUGUGCCACGAUUUGAGUGUGAGUUUGGAAGGAUGAUACCUAUACUUUGGUUUGUGAUGGCUAUCCACAAUGUCCAGAUGGUUCUGAUGAGCUGAAUUGUGAGGAUUUCGUCUUUGAGUGUUCCAAUGGGAAUAUUGUUCAACUGUCCUAUGUAUGCAAUGGCCCUGAAGACUGUGCAGAUGGUAGUGACGAAUCUGGGUGUGAACCUAAAGUUGAGUGUACUGAUGAGUAUAAGUGUACUGAUGGCAGUUGUUACUAUGAAUGGGACCGAUGUAAUGGAUAUAACGACUGUGAUGAUUGGUCUGAUGAAGACGGCUGUGUUUUAAAAGAAUGCAAGAAUGGUAUCUUAAUACCAGAAAAGGAAAUAUGCAAUGGUUACGACGGAUGUGGUGAUAAUUCAGAUGAAGAAAAUUGUCCGGUCAUAUCUGCUGUUUUUUCGCCUGAAUGUUCCAGAGACUUUACGUAUCGAUGCAAUGAUGAAGACUGUAUACCUAUUGACCAAGUAUGUAAUGGGAUUCCUGACUGUGCCAAUGGGGAAGACGAAGUUAAUUGUCCUGAUUGCAGUCCUCCCAUGGAAAAGUGUAAAAACAGUAGUAGAUGUUUUGGUCCAUGGGAUCGAUGUAAUGGUUGGUCUAUUUGUGAAGAUUUGACUGAUGAACUCAAUUGUGAAUGUACAGAAGACCAAUUUCAAUGCACAAACGGUGUAUGUAUUGACGAAAGUUACUCAGUGUGUAACCUCUAUGAUGACUGUGGCGAUAACAGCGAU